CAGUCGCCGCGGUAAAACGAAGGGUGCAAGCGCUAAUCGGAAUUACUAGGCGUAAAGCGUGCGUAGGCGGUGAGUUAAGUCUGCUGUGAAAUCCCCGGGCUCAACCUGGGAAUGGCAGUGGAUACUGGCUCGCUAGAGUGUGUCAGAGGAUGGUGGAAUUCCCGGUGUAGCGGUGAAAUGCGUAGAGAUCGGGAGGAACAUCAGUGGCGAAGGCGGCCACCUGGGACAACACUGACGCUGAGGCACGAAAGCGUGGGGAGCAAACAGGAUUAGAUACCCGCGUAGUCCCUGUCUCUUAUAC
rnacentral:rRNA from 1 species